rnacentral:rRNA from 1 species
UACGUAGGGUGCGAGCGUUAAUCGGAAUUACUGGGCGUAAAGCGUGCGCAGGCGGUGAUGUAAGACAGAUGUGAAAUCCCCGGGCUUAACCUGGGAACUGCAUUUGUGACUGCAUCGCUGGAGUGCGGCAGAGGGGGAUGGAAUUCCGCGUGUAGCAGUGAAAUGCGUAGAUAUCUGGAGGGACACCGGUGGCGAAGGCGGCAUCCUGGACCGACACUGACGCUGAGGAGCGAAAGCCAGGGGAGCAAACGGG